CUAGUCAUGACGGAAAAAGUUAGUAAGAUUUUGUUCAACGCUUGACUUAAAUUUGACUAAAUCAGGCAAAAUUGUCACUUUAAUUGGUUGUUCGGCACGUAGUGUAUCAGAGAACGAACGUGAAGAAGAAGAUUUUGCGGAUCCCUAAAGCACCGAAAUAGGACGUUCUUUUGUAAGUAUUUAACAAUGAUUGGUUGUCACAAUCAAUGCAAAUCAGUGAUCAACGCACCUAUUCAGAGGUUGAAAAUGAGUUGGACAACGACAGACAAUGUUGAUGACAACAGGGUUUAUUUGCUUAGACACCUUGAAGUCUACAUGGGUGAAAGAGAGGGUCAAUGACUUUUGAAUGCUUUCCUCUUGUUUUUUGUAGACGAUAGCCCAUGCGAUGAAUAUUACUCGAUACAUUGGGUCACAAUAAAUCAAUAUUUGAGUUAUAGAA